ACAGUUCUACAAUUUAGGCCGGUGCCCAUUAUUUUAAUGUUGGCAAAUAACAGCCCGGUAUUUUGCAGGGGGAUGGCCUGGUGAGCCAGUAGGCCGUAGGUUGCAGAAAUCUGCUUUAUAAGAUAAUUCACUAAUCUCUGAAUUAUAUAGAAUUUAAAUCCUAAUUGUAAACCUAAACUGAGUUGGAAAAUUAGUCCAAAUAACCUAUUUUUGUAUUACUCUUGUAAUUCUGAUUUGAAUUCAGUACCAUUUGGAGUUUAGUGAACCCUGACAGGUCUAUUCAAUGAACUCUGAAUUGUAGUGGAUUCAAAGAUUCAAAUCCACUUAGGCUAAAAUACCAAACUUUGUCAAUAGAUGAGUUAGAGAACAUUUUUAGAUCGACUUUUUUUAACCUAAAUUUUGCAGUUUACUCCAGCUUUGUGUUUAGUGAAUAAACCUCUAAGGCAGUUCUUCUUGGGUUUUGUUUUUUUACAGACAAAACAGCAUACAUAACAGUAGAUGGUACAAGAUGUAAAAUAUGUUUAAUGACCUAUCAUGUAGAAUGAUCAAAUUUUUCCGUAUGAU